AAGAGGUUUGGUCAUGGUUGAAGGAAAACUGGAAGCGAUAAGCUUUUAAUAUUUAACGAGUUAUAAACGAGGUUGAGAAGCAUCUAAAAAUGGACAGAGCAGCAGAGCGUCGAAUGGCACACUCCAUUAUGUAUUAAGACAAAAAGCUAAGAGCGUGAACCCAGAGAUUUGGACAAUAAAUUGAAUCGUGACGAGCCGAUCGGGUCAUUGUACUAUCCACCUGCUAAUGAACUUAUGUUUGUCAAGGUGAUGAGAAUGUUAUGUUGCGAAUUGCUUCAUCAAACUUCCAUUGAGAAAUUACAAUAUAACACUUUUUGUUCGCACAAAUGUAAGCAGCUUGGAACCAGUUUCAUUCUAAAUCAAUAGAAAGAAAACAGGACUCAUAUUACAUAACAGAAUAUUUUAUGGUGUUUAAGUCUGUUACAUAACUGACUCGGUA